AUGGCCACAUCAUAUUGAAACAAUGGUUCCCAUACAAUCACCAAAGUUAAGCAAUGUUGAACCUGGUCAGUACCUUGAUGGGUGAUUGCUUGGGAAUACCAGGUGCUGUAAG